GUACCUUAUUGGGCUAUGAAAUAGUAGUCAUCCAAAUGUUCAUAGGUUUAAAAUAAUCCAAGAAGAUGGAAAAGUAAUUAUACAAUUAAUUAAUAUGUUUUGACAGUAAACAGAGUACAUUACACUUGGAAAAUAAUAUGUUGUAAAACGUACAACACGCGACUGCUCGUGUGAUUGAGUAGGGCGUGACUACCGGAAUGUUAAUAUAUCAUUACAUCAAUAAACCUGUAUCAUCUACCGUCUAUAGAAGGUAUUGACAAGACAGGUGAUCGGCAAUGAAGCUCUGCUAUCUUUCUUCACUGCUAUUAUAACGUGGACCUCACUAUAGUAACCUGUAUCAUCUACCGUCUCAAGAAGGCAUUGACAAGCCAGAGGAUCGGCAACGUUGUUCUGCUAUCUUUCUUCACUGCUAUUAUAACGUGGACCUCACUCUAGUAAAAUUGAGAAAUAAUGUGAAUGAACUGAGUUGAGUCAAGAAAGAGUUUUCUCAAAAAGUGAUUUAUUCUGAUAAUAUAAUUAAAAAAUGAUGGGAGUGAACUGUGUUUAGUCAAAAAACCUUUUAUCCAUACUUGGAACUGAGUACUCACCCACGUGGACUAUACUAGCCUGUAUGUUAUGUAUAGGUGCGUACACACCUAUAGCUUCCUGGAAGAACGCCUAAUAUGUCCUCACCCUAAUUCAUAGAUCAACAUGGGAAGGCUACGACAGGUUCCAUUUUACAAAUAACACGUAAAAUAAAUUAUAUAAUUUCUUUAUUAAUUCUUCAAUUUUUCCAAUUUACAACUCAGAAUCAAAAGUCUAUCAACUAGGGAUACAAAAAUUAACACAUACUUGAUUAAGAAAUUUUGAUGGUGUACUUUGAUAUUAAGGCUACUAUAAAAAUCAUUCUGAUAGUUUUUAAAAUAAUGUUAUAGACAAUCAUUCUAGAAUUCCAACACUAAUUACAGUGGGAAAUUGAGCCUAAACUAAGUUACAUCAGCAUCACAAUUUUAGAAGUAUGAGUGUAGUAUCUAUUUACUUACAGUAUUGCGAAAUAUGAGAAUAAUGAAAGUAGCUAAAGCCAUCUGUAGAUAGUACAAAGUCAUUACAAUAACACAUUCAAUUGAUCAUCCCCAAAGCUAUGUCAUGUUCUUUCAAUUGUAAUUGAAAUGGAUUUCCGGAUUUUGAGAUAAAAUGAAGAUAUUUCUAAGACAGAUAAAUUGAAAAAAAAA